CCCUCAUUUUUUUGUGGCAGUGCCUCAGGUGACAAAAUGAUAAAACCACUGCUGCUUUACAAAGACUCUAACACCCCACUUGUCUUUUAGAGAUAAACGCCUUCCUGUUUUCUUGUAAUCACACCCAGAAUCACCACUGCCACUUUUUGGAUUAGUUUUACAAUUUUUUUAUCCAUCAAAUCCGAAGUCAUUUAACAAAAAAAAUCUGGAAAUCAGAAUGUUGCUAACUGUGGACAGAGGUCCCAAUCACCCAGAUUCAUUAUUCUUUGUUCAUUCUAAUGUUGAUACUGUGUUUCUCCCUCAGGAAGGCCCUAGCUUUCUUCAGCCCUUGGGUCAGGGUAUAACUGAAGCAUUUGAACAUAAUCAAGCAUAUGUUUGACCACUUUGCUGACUGUAUUGAAAAAACCCUCACCUUACUCUGAAAGAAGCAUGGCAACAGUACAAUAUUGCCGAUGCUUUGGUAGUGAUAAAAGAGGUGAUGGGUGAUAUAAAAUCAGCCACUCUUAAGCUUGCUGGAAACUGUGGGAGGAUGUGUGAAUGAUGCAUAUUUCCCUAGAGCUAAUGAAGAAGUUAAAAAAAAUCUUAGUGUCUGCAAAACAGGAAGAAGUCUUUGCAGAGGAAAUUGAAUGCUGUCUGAUGCUACAAUUCAUAUGGAUCCUUUCCUGGAUUGAAGCCUGACUUUUAAAAAAGGUUUCAAUAAAUUGCUUAUACCUAUGAAGAGAUGCAAAAGAACCUUCAAAAUAAAGCAAAGGACUUGAAGAAAGAGAAGGAAGACAUGAAGAAGAGGAUGUCAUUUAGGUGAAGUUGUAUCAGCUCUGUGCGGUCACAUGGGUAUCUACAAAUCAAAGCACCCAUCAACCAGAUGCAUCUCUGAGAGUUAACAGCAGAAGGUGGCAUAAUAAAAGAAGUUCUCGGUAGUGAAAAAGGUUGGAAACCACCAGCUAAACCAAUCCUCUUGUACCAAUAGGAGAUUCAAGUUGAGAGGUGGGAAAGGGCCUAUCUCAGAGUAGGUGCUUGAAUACUUCUUACUAGAAUGAAAGAAGGAACUUAAGAUCACACAGCCAUGUUACUGCAGGACGGGGAAUGGAACCUAGGUCUUCUUAUUUUUGGUUCAGUGUUAACUCCCAUUCUCUAAGCAGACUGGGCCUGUUAUUCAAACUGCCUUCCCAUAGGUGCUUCCCUGCUUCUCUCCUCACCCAGAGAAGGACUUACAAACAGCUUAUCUUCAGAGGUUUUGUGCCUGAUAGUUAUGGAAUGUGCUGGUUUGAGCAGGGAGGAUGUAAGGGGAGGGAAUGCUAAAAGCCUGUCUACUUAGAGUCAGGUUUCCUGGGUAAGUCCCUGGAACCCCAUCCCCUUCCCCUUUCUUGAGACCCCAGGACUUGCUCCAGUAACUGCCACCCUGUGCCUUUGCUUCAGGGCCAUGCUGGAUAAGGAGCUGGCUGCCUCUGUGAACAUCCUACUCAAGGCAUCUUCACUGCUGUACAUCCUUUUGAAAUCCCAGAGAUCUUCAGUCUCCCUGUGGAUUAAGGAGAUGUGCAGUAUUUAAAGUGGCUUCAGGAAGGCAUGGAAGAGGACUGAGUGGGGAAAGCUUUUUGUGCAUGCUGCUGGCUACCUCCAGCGGCUGCCUCCAGCCUCCAUCAGCUGCACUCUGGGGAAGAGGAGGCUGCCUUCUACCUCCCAGCAUCUCUGGAUUUCAUGUUCCUGUCAGCACAGAGGAGCUAAAUGGCCUGUAGAGGCUGAAGGUCUGAGGCUCCUAAAGCUGGAAGAAAAGGCUGGGCCAGUCAGGCCAAGCAAGAACACAGUGUAACUUGUCUCUGAGUGCUUCAUGGUUAAGGGGGCUAAGCAGGCACAAGGGCAUGAGGAUGGUUAUAUGUACAGACUGAGGGGAAGAAGCAGUGAAGAUGAGACUUGCCAUCUUCUUGAGUCAGUAGGCCUGCCUCAGGUGCCUAGGAUGUAAUUGCUCUGCUGCUUCUCAUGGGGAGGAGUGGCCCUCAUGACCUUGUUUACCUGGAAGAGUGUGGGAUGAAUGCCUCCUCCUAUGGGGACUCGCAAGUGCUUUAGCAAAAGGAUAAAUUGCUAAUUGUGGCAUUUCGUGGAUCAGCAGGAUUAUUUCUCCUUGCUAAAGAGGAUUUUGUUGGUCCUGAAUUCUGAGGAGGUGGGACUAGGAAUGGGCUCCAUGAGCCUGUGUAUGACUCAGGGAAUAUUAGGACUUUGGCACAGCCUCAUGGGUUGGGAGUAAGUCUUGGCUCUUCCCUAGCCUGAAUGACAGACAUCAGAUCAUUCUGGUGCUUUGUCCAUGAAGAUGUAGAUUCUGAGCCCACCCAACUAAUCUUUUCACUUGAGCACAGAAACAGCCCCGGGAAUCGGACAGACCCGUGUCUUUCAGGUUUGCUUCACAGAGCCCCAGGGGUUGACAAUAGGUGCCUUGGAGACUGCCUGCAUGGGGAUUUUUAAAAAGCUUUCUUUGUUAAAGGUUUGUAAACCACUCCUCUGAGCCUGUUUUCAUUUUAUAGAUUAUUCAGGGAACUGAACUGCACAGAGAUCCAGAAAGUGGGUAGUGCAGGCUGUAGUGCUGAUAACUACUGUACUACUUGGAUCUUUGUGCUCCCAAAUACCAAAUGGAAGAGGAUCUCUGAGAGUCCUUUGCAAAGAUCUUGUAGGGACUUUAGGCUGGGGCCUUCGGAAAAUUCCAGAGGAUUCCAAUGGAGAUUUUGAGGGACUGACUCAGAAGAACAAAGAGAAUGAUAAUGGUGAUGUCCCUGCUUUUUACAACAGAUCAUGUUCUGAUAUAUAUGCAAAUCUGUGUAAAGUAAACCCUACCUAAAAUGUACUGGGGACCCAAGAUGGACUGCCUGUAUUGCUUCCAGGAUAAAGUCCAAUUUCUAGCUCUGGUUUUUAUAACCUUGCUUCAGCUCACCUUUUCCGUCAUCAUCCCCUCCAUCUCCUCUCCCACGCUGGGAAAUGGAUGGCUGCACUAUACUGUGUGAUGUUAUUGCUAUGUUCAUGCCAUCCCCUCUGCCUGGAAUGCCCUUCUGCAUGAAUGCCUGUGAAAUGUUGUUGCUCCUUUGUAUGGCCUGGCUUCCGUGGUUGGCAGGAAUCUCUUCUUUCGUGGUAUUCCUGUCAUCUUUGUGCAUCACAGUCAGCUUUGUAUUCCUAGCUUGUAAGCUACUUGAGGAUAGGGGCAUGUCUGAAUCUAUUUAAUCUCUUGCACCUGUUUGGCAAAUUGAUGUUUUAAGUAUUUAAAUAACUAAAGCUCUCUCUACAGUACAUACUCACUUUUGAUUUAUGAAUUGGCAAAAUUCAACUUUUUUCCUUGAAUAUUCUUAAAGUGAGAUGAAUUCCAAAGGAGAGUGUUCUGUGUGUGGCCUUCAUUGAGUGGUUUUCUGUUACCAGAAAGCUCUUGGUGGCCUUCCUCUUCCCUGGUGUCAAGGUUGACUGUUAUAGGAAAUGGGAGGGGAGAGGGCCGUUUCUGCCACGCAUUGUCCUAGGUUCUUAACAUUAUUUAAUCCUUAUAAUGCAAUGUUAUCCUCAUUUUACAGAUGAAACCUGAGACCAAAGAACAUGUAACACAUAAAGUACAUUGCAGAGUUAGGAUGUGAACCCAACUCUGAUUCUAAACCUAAUGCUCUCACUCUUUCAUUCAGAGGUUCAGUCAGUUCUUUGUAGGCUGUAGAUCCAGAGAAGCUGCCGUAGCCAACAAUGAAGUUGUUAGUUUUUAAAACAUCUAUGUGGUAAGUUGGUCUGGCACUUAAAAAUGUAUUGUUUCCCAGGCACGGUGGUUCACACCUGUAAUCCCAGCAUUUUGGGAGGCCGAGGCAGGCGGAUCAUUAGGUCAAAAGAUUGAGACCAUCCUGACCAACAUGGUGAAACCCCGUCUCUACUAAAAGUACAAAAAUUAGCUGGGUGUGGUGGCGCAUGCCUCUAGUCCCAGCUACCUGGGAGGCUGAGGCAGGAGAAUUGCUUGAACCCAGGAGGCAGAGGUUGCAGUGAGCCAAGAUCAUGCUACUGCACUACAGCCUGGCAACAAAGCGAGACUCUGUCUAAAAUAUAUAUAUAUAUAUAUAUUGUUUACUACUCACCACAGAUCUGCAGGAGUUCACUGAUCUCUAGGAUCUGCCUUAACUCCAACUUACAUGUUUUGGUCACUAUUACAAACUGUCAUCCCAGAAUGAUGCUGCAGAGGCUAGGGCUAGGACACAGACCAGUGUUUCCAUGUGGGAAUUCCCUCCCAGUAUUUCUUAGGAAAUGUAUGUUUUUUGAAUCCAUAAUCCCUAGAAAAAUCAGUUGAGGAAAUGAGAAGUAUUGUAAUUAUUCUGUGAAUAGUAACACUUACCAUUAUGGAGACAUCACUAGUUUGAAAGAAUCCAACUUCAUCAAAUAUUAACGUACCGAGUUGAAGGCUACAAGAACUGAGACAGGAGCAUAGCAGAGAGAAACGGUCACCAUCUCAUUAGCCCUAUUUUUGGUUGUUGUGAUGCCAUUACAUCUGUAUAUCUGGCCAUAUCAGCUGCUAAUGGUGAGUUCUUGCAAACAAAAUGAUUUGAUAAACAACCUACCAUACUUUAUACAAAUCUUAUGGUGUUCCGAGAAAUAAACUUUGGAAGCAAAAUAAGUUAACAGUCUGGACACGAUUGAUUCUAUAUUCUGUUUACCUUGCUCUAGGCUAUUCAAAUGUUAUAUUUAUUUGAACACUAUCCAAUAUAUGUUCCCUGGC
rnacentral:lncRNA from 1 species